rnacentral:rRNA from 1 species
UACGUAGGGACCGAGCGUUAUCCGGAUUCAUUGGGCGUAAAGAGCUCGUAGGCGGCUAUUCAAGUCGAACGUGAAAUCUCGGGGCUCAACUCCGAGCCUGCGUUCGAUACUGGGUAGCUAGAGUCUGGUAGGGGGAUCUGGAAUUCCUGGUGUAGCGGUGGAAUGCGCAGAUAUCAGGAGGAACACCGGUGGCGAAGGCGGGAUCCUGGGCCAGUACUGACGCUGAGGCACGAAAGCGUGGGGAGCAAACAGGG